GGAUUGCAUUUUUGCUGGGCGUUUUGUAUAUUUCAUAUGUGCCACUAAGUUCAAACUCCCCAAAUUAUGCUCAGCUAAGUCUUCUGAGUAAAAUGACACCCCAUAUGAAUGUCUUUGGCACUAUUUCGUGAAGCUACAGUGCCAUAUAGGAGACCUGUCCUUUACAGUAUUCACAGUAGAAUUUUGAGAGAUGGAUUUAAUGAGCCUUAGCUUCCAUUUGGGGUAUUAUAACAGUUU
rnacentral:lncRNA from 1 species